GGAGGGAUGGCCGAGUGGUUUAAGGCGGCGGUCUUGAAAACCGCUGGUCCGCAAGGGCUCGUGGGUUCGAAUCCUACUCCCUCCGCCA
rnacentral:tRNA from 1 species